AUGCUGGAGGUAUCAGAAGUGCGAAUGCUGACAUAAGUAACGAUAAAGCGGGUGAAAAGCCCGCUCGCCGGAAGACCAAGGGUUCCUGUCCAACGUUAAUCGGGGCAGGGUGAGUCGACCCCUAAGGCGAGGCCGAAAGGCGUAGUCGAUGGGAAACAGGUUAAUAUUCCUGUACUUGGUGUUACUGCGAAGGGGGGACGGAGAAGGCUAUGUUGGCCGGGCGACGGUUGUCCCGGUUUAAGCGUGUAGGCUGGUUUUCCAGGCAAAUCCGGAAAAUCAAGGCUGAGGCGUGAUGACGAGGCACUACGGUGCUGAAGCAACAAAUGCCCUGCUUCCAGGAAAAGCCUCUAAGCAUCAGGUAACAUCAAAUCGUACCCCAAACCGACACAGGUGGUCAGGUAGAGAAUACCAAGGCGCUUGAGAGAACUCGGGUGAAGGAACUAGGCAAAAUGGUGCCGUAACUUCGGGAGAAGGCACGCUGAUAUGUAGGUGAAGCGACUUGCUCGUGGAGCUGAAAUCAGUCGAAGAUACCAGCUGGCUGCAACUGUUUAUUAAAAACACAGCACUGUGCAAACACGAAAGUGGACGUAUACGGUGUGACGCCUGCCCGGUGCCGGAAGGUUAAUUGAUGGGGUCAGCGCAAGCGAAGCUCUUGAUCGAAGCCCCGGUAAACGGCGGCCGUAACUAUAACGGUCCUAAGGUAGCGAAAUUCCUUGUCGGGUAAGUUCCGACCUGCACGAAUGGCGUAAUGAUGGCCAGGCUGUCUCCACCCGAGACUCAGUGAAAUUGAACUCGCUGUGAAGAUGCAGUGUACCCGCGGCAAGACGGAAAGACCCCGUGAACCUUUACUAUAGCUUGACACUGAACAUUGAGCCUUGAUGUGUAGGAUAGGUGGGAGGCUUUGAAGUGUGGACGCCAGUCUGCAUGGAGCCGACCUUGAAAUACCACCCUUUAAUGUUUGAUGUUCUAACGUUGACCCGUGAUCCGGGUUGCGGACAGUGUCUGGUGGGUAGUUUGACUGGGGCGGUCUCCUCCUAAAGAGUAACGGAGGAGCACGAAGGUUGGCUAAUCCUGGUCGGACAUCAGGAGGUUAGUGCAAUGGCAUAAGC
rnacentral:rRNA from 1 species